AUAGCCAAUAUGUCUUACGUUGUACCUUGAGAUAGUUUGAAUAGGUAUAAGUGUUUGAAUGCUUACCUAUAGGGAGUGGCACUUUUUGGAGGUGUGGCCUAGUUAGAGUUGGUAUGGCCUUGUUGGAUGAAUUGUGUCACUGUGAGGACAGGCUAUGAUGUCUCCUAUGCUCAAGUUACACCCAGUGUGACAUACAGUCUCCUUCUGCUGCCUGUGGAUCAAGAUGUAGAACUUUUGGCGUCUGUCUGCACACUGCCAUGCUUCCGGCCUUGAUCAUAAUGAACUAAACCUCUGAAACUGUAAGCCAGCCCCAAGUAAAUGUUGUCCAAGUAAAAGUUGCCUUGGUCAUAGUGUCUUUCACAGCAAUAAAAACCAAACUAAGACAUGCUUAAAAUGUCAGGUAGGUGGUUAAACUUAGUGGGUUAGAGGAAUAUUUAUACAUUUAUCUGGACCAAGAAUUAUGAACCAAAUUUAUGAUUCAGAGCUUGUAAAAUAACAUAUGAUAGACCUUCGGGUUAUCUUAGGAAUAGUCAAUGCUACAGCAAGUAUUAAAUGUGAGUGUCAGAGCUCUCUUGUACUAAUGACAUCCAGCACCAGCCUUGGUCCUUCCACACUCAUUCUCUGCACAGAUCAGAAGUAACUACAAUUACUGAGGGACUGUGUCAGACCCCUAGGUAUUAGGACAGAAGACAACUUAGCCUCAUCCCACAGCCCCAAGAGCAUACACUGGACGGCUGCUUUGAUUUCUAAUGGAAAAGCUUUCCUUUGAUUUGUGGGAUAAGUUGAUGUCUCAUUUCUCUCUUCAGGUAUAUAUAUGUAUUACCUGAAAGCCCAGGGCAGUUGUUGCCUUGGGUCAUGCAGAGAAUAUGCAGCCACACCCAUGCCUUAGAUGUGUGUAAUUCAAGUGGAGAAGACACAAGCCAGUGGUCGCAAUAUCAACACUUGAGUGUUCUGUAAACGAUUAAUGUUUGCCAUGUGCAAGGAAAUGGCAGAGGCAAAAUGCUGGCGGCUUAUGGAAAAAUAAUUUAUAAAAAAAUGAUGGGUUAGUUCUGCCAAAUUUGAGUAAGUGAGAACACGAGAAACCAUAUUCUGUUAGAGCUUGAGAAAAGGAAGGAAAGUCAAACGGUGAGUCUAACCUCAUUUAUUCCAGGAUUGGUGUCAGCAGAAAACCAACAGUGAUGUGGUGGCACACAGUGAACUGACAGGACCCAGGCAGCAGCGGUUCUUUUGGUGGCAAUGGUGCCAUGUCAUGGGUACUCUCCUUGCUGAUGGCAGAUACCGACAGGCAAACUGUUGCCUUGCGUUUAGCUCUGUUAACCAUUGACAGUAAGGUAAGCAUGUCUUCAGCGUUCAUGGCUCUUAAAGAUCUUGUCUGUAACACAAGGGUUUAAGACUGGGGUCUCAUUUUGUUGUCCUGACUUAGACUUGGCAGUCCUCCUGCUUCAGCCUGCUAAGUGCCAAGAUUACAGGGUUGAGCCAGCAUGCCUAACUUCUAGUUUAGUUUCUUCAGACAGGGUCUCAUGCAGCACAGGCUGGCUUUAGACUUGCUAUUGAG
rnacentral:lncRNA from 1 species